GUUCCACGGCCGCCACACAGGCUCGGCACAGCUCCGCGUCGUCAGCGCCCGCUCCACUUCAUCCUUCGCGCGCCUCUCUUCGCCGCCCCUAGGUCCCGCCGAUCUGAUACGACGAAAGAGGGAGGAAGGCGUGAUGUGGUUGCUGCUGCUUUAGCACUCCACGGAAAGAGCACUAGAGAAGAAGAAACAUAGAAGAGAAGAUGAAUAGAAGAGAAAUACCCGAGAUCAUCACAAUUUGUCAAGUUGAAACCAAACUGCUGAGCUACAUCAGUAAAAUCUACAUCUUAUGUAUACUGUCUAAUUUCAUAUCAUAUCACUACAUAACAUUUAGAAUCAUGAGAAGUAGUUUGUAUUUUGAUUGCUAGAAACUUAGAAUUGCUUUUUCGUUUAUUUACAUGAAGGAGAAAUCUGUAUGUAUAGGUUGGUUCAGUAGCUGCCCAAGAGUAUGAAAAAUGUGCUCCAACUGUGCUUUCGUUGAAAAACAUCUGCUAAACCUGAAAUAAUUGUGAUUUUAGGCUAACACUAUGGUUCCUGAAUUGGUUAUUGUAUUGAUGACAUCUGAAUUAGUAUUACUUGCACGAGAUUAUAAGAUAGUACUUCUGGAAAUUAUGAUUCUUUUUCACAUGGUAUAAGUAGUACUUCUGGAACUAACUUGUGUUAUGUGCCUCAUAGUUUUCAUUAGAAGUAUCUGUAAACAGAUAUGUUUCUCCUAUAUAUGCUCUUAUGUAAAGAUAUAUGUUUCUAGCUAACUCAGCACUUUACUUAUAUUUCAGUAUCAGGUUUAAUAAUAUUAAUUAUUUUUUUCUCCUAUAUAGAACAAGAAGAUUUACAAGUAGUGCAUGUUCACACAUUUUGCAGAAGCCAGAUCCACAGCACGUCUCCUCUAGGUAAUAGUGAUGCCCAACCUUUGGUUAGCAACUAUGGUAUAUUAGUUUCAACUUUCAUUCGAUUGUUUUGGACUAUGAUUAUCAUUUUUGAUUUAACUUGGGACUGUGGGUCAGUGGUUGAUUCUCCUGGUACUCAUUAAUCUUUUGGUGAAUAGGGAACUUUAUCUCACAUUUCUUUAGUCUUAUGUCUGAAACAUAUAUUCCCAUAUUCAGUGCUUCAGUCGAUGGAUAUCACUUUAUUCUCGUUCCCAAUUUUGUCAACAUGAUUUUGGACCUAACAGAGAUAACACUAUCUGUAGUACCAACUACCAAGGAGCUACUGCUGGUGCGUGUAAUGUUUUGUUGUUACAUAUUGCAGUAAAAAUAUUAGUUGUGCAUCAAGCAAAAUACUGGGGAGCCAGGCUGAAUGGAACCUCAUUUCUGAAUAGUAAUCAAUAUGGAUUGCCAGGUUGCAGGUCUAUAACACCUCUGUACAUGCAAGGCCAUUUAUGUUGUUGUAGCAAGUUAUGUUGGUUGACUUCCACUGAUUUUUUCGAACACUGUAUGUAUAGAAUGGUGACCGUAAUGCCAAGUAGUGUCCACGUGUGAUUCAUGAUAGAUCAUGCAAUUACCACACUAACCAUAUUUAUUCUUUUUUAUAAUUACUACAAUUACCACCCAGAAGACCCAGGAGGACAAAGAGGUUAGUGCAAAGGAUCUGCAUGUACGAUUUUAUGUCAGCUCGUUAAGUAAUUCCAUGUACUGUAUGGCUGAACUGAUGUUAAAUUAUACAUGGGAGUGCAAGGGAAUUACUCCAUUCUUGUAUUUAGACAAUACCAAUGUAUUUGGACAUACUCUAUGCACAAGCAAGGUAGGUGCACUAUCUGAAGGUACGACGAUACCAGGGGUGAUCAUGUCAUAGAAUCAUCAUUGGACACACCGUUUGAUUCUCAUGGUGAGGCUUACGAUGUGAUGAUGUUGACCGCCCAUUGGUUAGGAUGAUACUUGCGGCUUCAUCUGCAUUUUUUACUUAGUUUAUCCCAUCAAUUUUGGCACUCUUUUACUUGAUUCCUCAGACCAUGAUGAGUUGAUGACAUACAUGAUUUUACUUAUGUUAGUGAGGUCAUAAAGUCACUUAAUCGGCAAUAAUUGAUUUUUGGCAUGAAGUGAAUUAAAUGGUAUCCUAGCUAAUUAGUUUGUUUAUAUCAUUGAUCUCUUCCAUCAGACUUCAGUUGAUCGAAAAAAAUAGAAAUUACUUUCAGGUUCAGAUUAAGGAGAACCGACAUUAUGAGAUACUGCUGCCAUUUUAUUCAUCUUUACGUAGAUUGUGUUUCUGGCUAUACCUGCACAUUUACCAUGCUUAACUUCCAUUUCAUAUCUCGCUAUGAAAAGCAAUUUGUAAUACUCUUGAUUCUCAAAUAUUUAGUGUUGGCAGUCAACCAACUAAGCUCAUAAGUGUUAUGAUGUUUAUGCUUAUUUUUUUGUAAUGGAAGACCUGAAGGCCUCCCUUCCUAUAGGCCACAUGGAAAAAAAAUGUUGUAGAGGUACUGCACUACCAAGUAUCAGUCAGUAGUCCAAUGAGGCAUCAGCAACCAAUCAUUUCAAUCAUACAGAUUUUAGCGCAUAGCAGAAUACAAUAAAAAGUGUUUAAGCUAAACAUGUUGAGCCGGAGCAGACCAUAUGAUUACUCCAGUGACAUGUGUGACAAGUCUUGACACCCAUGCUCUUUGGAUUGGUACUGUGUCAGGUAAGGUAACAUAUCCCCUUGGGCAUGACGGUUUUAUUCCCUGCUUGAUCCGACCUAUGCAAAAGACCACAUGGUUUUAUUCCCUGCUUCAUCUGUUAAGUGAUUGGCACUGCAUGUCCACCAUUGGCAAUGACAUAAGGGGAAGGCAGGAGCAGAAGUGUAGGUUGGUUGUGCUACGUGCAACAACAAGGUUUCCUUUUUGAAUCAGUUGAUGGUUGAUGAUACUGCUAGAUAUGGUGGUUGAUGAUCAUGCUAUCAAGAUGAAGCUUUGAAUUUGAGAUCAGAUUUAGAGUUUGGGGAAAAUGAGACGAUUGGCAAUAACGAGGUCAUCAAGAUCAAGCCGCCCACUGUCGAGGUUGUGGCCGCUGCCGCAUUGUUCUAGGUUCGGUCUCUUCCUCCAGAUCCGGCAUCUUGCUGCCACAAUUACGUCCGCGGGUCACUCUCACCCCUACCUCCUCCAACACACAACAAUAUCACUGAAGACACCUGUUAUUUUCAUGUUCAUCAGGCCAUGUGCUUUGCUCUUACUGUCUGCAUAGGUUCAUGAAUCAUCAGUCACGCAUUAUAUGCCUAGGAUUUGUGUGCUCGUGGUUGUGAUAGAAUAACUGCUGUCUUUUUAUUUCAAGUUUUGCUCAUUAUUUUGUUGAAUCAAUUGCAGCUUAAAAUGUGUUAAUGCAAUGAUGUUCUGUGGGGCAUACAUAUGUACUCUUUCUAUUUACUUAGAGCUUGUUAUGUAAUUGGAGCUGAAUCACAUUGAUAUUUUGGUCAGUAAUUAGCUCUUGCACUGCUGAGGUGUGUUUUUACCAUGUAGCUUCAUAAAUCGUAGGCAUAUCGUGGUUCUGCUGAAAUGAUCAUACCUUUGUAGCAUGUUCCAAAUUUUAACUUACUAUUACGCUGGAUGAUGGUUUAUAUUGGAACUCGCAGUACUGUGGGGAUCAUCAAAACGCAUUGUUUCAAUAAUUCUAUCAGAUCCUUCUGUUAAGUCAACCUAAUAAAGUUUACCGAAUAGGUUCAUGGAUUUUCCAGCACAUCUUCUAGGCAUAACAUGGGUUCUAUAUAAAUAAUCAUAGAUUUGACUAAUAUUUUUGCAUUUCCUUGUUAUUAUGGUCGAUGGUUGUUUAAAUUCUCAUGUGGGUGUUCUUCCAAGUGCAUUGUUUUUAUAUUUGUAACAGAUCCAUUUGUUAAGUCAAUCUAAGAAACUUUAUGAUAUAAUUCCCUUGGGGCAAUUGUUUAAUUGAUGAGAUUAACAAACAUGGUACCUUGCUUUUCUUUGCAGGGAAAGAUCAUGGAGGAAGAUUACUCAGAAGCGCCAGCGCCACAACUUCCUAUGGACAUCAUGUACAAGAUCCUAUCGCACAUAUCUGAUCCAGCCCCCUUGCCUGCCUUGCUUCAUCUUGCAAGUUCUGGCAUGAUCUUAUGAAGGGACCCGGUCUUGAUAAAUGGUUAGUUCUAUAUAUAACCAUCAUGUGUGCGCGUUUACAUUUCUAUCUGUUGGGGACACUCUUUCUUUAAGCAGUAUCAUCUGUGAGGUUAGCUCUCACUUAUAUUUGCACUGAGGAUGAUACUCAAAUAUCUUCCGAUUGGACAAGGCCUUGCUACUAGCUUAUGCACAAUAUUUAUUGUUAACCUUUGUUCUGUCAAUUCAUGUUCUGUUUUUCAUUUAUCUUGGUUCUUAUCCACUCUUGUGUAUAUACUUGUUUUUUUCUUUUUAAGUAGUCGGGAUCUUCGUACUGUUUCCUGUAAAAAGGGAAUUAGGCGAUAAAGGAAUCAUGGAUGAUAGUUGUGUUAAGAUAGCACAGGAGAAGUUCUAUUCUAUUCCCUAGAUACCAGGUACAACCAUACAAGGGGUGUUUAAGAAACUAAGUUUCUCUUGCAUUUACUACAUGUAGACAUGAGCAUCAAAAAACUUAGUUGUGUUAAAAAUUAAGAUUGCAUCAGCUGUUGCAUGAUGAUUCAUCUGUUAAUCGUCCAUGUGUACUGUCAAUAUUGGUGCAUGUUGCAUCUCAGGUAAUCAUGGUUUAAUUUUUCGAGGUAUUGAAUAUUUGCUGACUUCUUAGUUUUCUUGCUCCUUUCUACGACACCCGGAAUAUAAAAUUAACAUUAGUUGAAUCCAUGCUCAAAACUUAUAUGUUUAUUUGUUAGGAAUAUCUUGUGCACACCAAGUUACUGCUCUCCUUGCUGUCACACCUGACAAGAUCAGGUUCUUUCGAUUGUUCUCAUAACUUAAUUAUUCUUCCAAUUUUUUUAUGCCAGCUAUUGCUGUUCUGAAAAUGCUAAAAAUGCUUGGCAGUUCCAGUGUUACUUAUGAAAUUGUUUACCUUUGAAAUCUUUAAAUUACAUAAGCCUUUUUGUGCAAUUUUCUCAGAUCCCACCAAAUCAAUUCCAGUAUGACUUAGCCAAAGUGGACCAUCAAUUCUUUCUCUACCAGAUGCUUCAUGCUCUGAGUUAUAUUUAUAAUGGCCUACUACAGAUCAGCACAAUGCCACUGUGUUUCGUUUUGAUUUACAAAUCCGAUUUUAAGGUGAGUUGUAAUUUAGUGGAUAUGGGCACUACUGAAUUGUGAUUUGUAGGUUCCAGGCGAGGACAUUGGCCAGUAAUUACAUGUUGUUAUGUCUUAGUAGCAGAAAGGAACAACCUCUAUAUAUGAAACUGGAGUAUUUUUAGAAGAUAUAAAAGUACAGUAUUGAGCUUUAUGAAUUA